rnacentral:lncRNA from 1 species
CGAUGCAUGCCCUCCAUGGGGUGGCAUACACCCCCCAAGGGGCGCCUGUUGCAAAAGCUUGUUGCAUGGAGCUACGCGUUGUCUACGCAUGGUGUGACGCGCACACAGACUGCACGCCUAGCACCCUGUGCAGAUGGGACGUGCUGCAGGUACACGUCUGAUUGGUCACGCACUAGACCCGUGUAGGCGGUAAAAAUUUCCUACAGCCUUUU